UCCCUGGUGGCUCAGCUGGUAAAGAAUCCACCUGCAAUGUGGGAGACCUGGGUUCGAUCCCCAGGUUGGGAA
rnacentral:tRNA from 1 species